AAAUAAAUGUAAAAAUUUAAUUUUAGUUAAAAAUUAAUUUAAAUAAAUAAUAUAUAUAUAUAAAAUAUUUUUUUUUAUUUUUAUUAGAUAUAGGAAUAAAUUUACUUAAUAUGUAAGUUUAAUUAAAGUUAAUGAAAAUUAUAAUUAGUUAUUAUUAAUAUAAUAGGUUUAUAAUGUGCCAGCAUCUGCGGUUAAACAUUUUAUUAAAAUUAAUUUUAAUAAAAGUUAUUUAUAUUAAUUAAAAAAAGAUUUUUUUUGGUGAAAUAUGAAGAUUUUAUUUAUAAUUAAUUUAUUUAUAUUAUUAUAAAUAAACUAGGAUUAGAUACCCUAUUAUUAAUAAUAAGAGUAUAGUUUUUUAAAAGAUUAAAUGGUAAAUCAUUAAAUUUAAUUAAUUUGGCGGUAUAUUUAAUUGGUUAGAGGAACAUGUUAUUUAAUUUGAUAAUCCACGAAAGGAUAGACUUAAAGUUAAUUUAUGUAUUGUUGUUUUAAGAAUAUAUAUUAAUAUUAUAUUUUUAAUUUAUUUUUAAUAAAAUAAUUCAAAUCAAAAUGUAGUGUAUCUUUAAGAAUAAAUGUGUUACAAUAAAUUAAAUUUAUUUAUAUUUUAUUUAAUUAAAAUUGAAUAGUUAGUAUUUAAAAGUAAAUUUAUUUAAAUUAAUUAAAUUGAAUUUUAAUAAUUUAUGUACAAAUUGCCCGUCAUUUUCUUUGAUAUUUAAAAGAAAAAAGUCGUAACAAAGUAAAUAUAUCGGAAGAUGUAUUUAGAU
rnacentral:ncRNA from 1 species